AUAGACAUGGCUGGAUACGUUAUUGAUAGCGAUUCAGAUGAUAAACUUAUCUAAAUCUAGCUGUCCAACAAUUUUAAAUGAGAUACUUAUCAUGGGAUGCACCAAAAUGCCAUGAAGAGAACUCUUCUACUUUUUCAAAAUAUAUUCUAGAGCAGACUAUUGAAUUAAUAUAAUUAUAGAUAGAUUAUAAUAAUAGGAAACAUAUAUGACAUGUGGCAUACAGACAAGUUUACUAGAUGGAUCUUUCAUCAUUUUGGAAAUACAAUAUUCCCUGCGAAACAAAUCACAGAAACAUUCUACAAUCUUAUUUUAUAUAAUAAAUACCAAUAAAUGUAAAUACAAAAUCACA